rnacentral:miRNA from 1 species
UAUCAGUCACCAGGGGGGAUGAAUGAGGGAACUUGUUAGAAGGCAGAUUCCUAGGCCCCACCCAAAUCCCCACCCAAAUCUCCUUGGGUGGGGCCCAGGAAUCUGCAUUUUGACUGUCCUGGUGAUUCUGAU